rnacentral:rRNA from 1 species
GAUGAACGCUGGCGGCGUGCUUAAUACAUGCAAGUCGAGCGAACGGACGAGGAUCUUGUUUUUCUGAUGUUAGCGGCGGACGGGUGAGUAACACGUGGAUAACCUCCCUAUAAGACGGGGAUAACUUCGGGAAACGGGAGCUAAUACCGUAUAAUCUUUUGAACCGCAGGGUUCAAAAGUGAAAGACGGUCUUGCUGUCACUUAUAGAUGGUUCCGCGCUGCAUUAGCUAGUUGUUAAGGUACUGGCUUACCAAGGCAACGAUGCAUAGCCGACCUGAGAGGGUGAUCGGCCACACUGGAACUGAGACACGGACCAGACUCCUACGGGAGGCAGCAGUAGGGAAUGUUCCGCAAUGGGCGGAAGCCUGACGGAGCAACGCCGCGUCAGUGAUGACGGUCUUCGGAUCGUAAAGCUCUGUUAUUAGGGAAGAACAUAUGUGUAAGUAGCUGUGCACAUCUUGACGGUACCUGAUCAAAAAGCCACGGCUAACUACGUG